rnacentral:sRNA from 1 species
ACCAAACGCGAUGGGGUCGAUCAACACCAUCGGAUUGUCGAUCGACACCCUCAUUUUCAGGUAAGUCGAUUUAACCUAAACUUUAUCUUCUUCAUUUCAGUUUUUUUUCAAACCGCCGAAAUCACUCUUUUCUCUCUAGAUUCUCGGAUUCUUCACCGAUUCUUGUGAUUUUAGGCUCUAAUCUCAUUAGAAUUUCAUCCUACAUCUACCCCAAGUGUCAAUUUAAUCAAUCUGCAACAUGGCUGAGCAGAAAAAGAAGACAAGGAAGAGCGUUCCUCCACCUUCCUCCUCCGGCGCUCAUCCUCGCCGGAACUUCUCCACCACCGCUGGCCUCCGCCCUUCACAACUGGAACCACCAGCUGUAGCGCCUCAACCUCCCAUCUAUCGAUUUCCAUGGCCAAAGCCACCAAAUGAGAAAAUUCCUUCUCAAAGAGUUUGGGAAAAGGAUGUCAACAGAGAAUUCACUAAAGGUGACUAUAUCAAUCGCCUUUUUUCUCCAGAUUGGGAUGAUUAUGAUACUCUGUUCUAUAAUGCCUGGAUGAGUGUAGAAAUUUUGACUACUCGGGUUGCGAAUUUCGGUUUGAUGUAGUGUUUGCAGAUAGAGAAAUCUUGUUUAGGACUGCUAGAUGAUGUAGGUUUGGGAACCAUCUGUUGUAGGCAGUACGAUUUGUAUCCUGAGCUAGUUAGACAAAUCAUGGCUUCUGUUAGGGUCUACUAUGUGAAUGACAGGAAACGCAAUGCUCAGGAAGGAGCUCUUAUCUUCUUCAUCCGCGGUGUUAGAUAUAGUCUACCACUGAGAGAGAGUUGUG